rnacentral:rRNA from 1 species
GUUUGAUCCUGGCUCAGAUUGAACGCUGGCGGCAUGCCUUACACAUGCAAGUCGAACGGCAGCACGGAGCUUGCUCUGGUGGCGAGUGGCGAACGGGUGAGUAAUAUAUCGGAACGUACCCUGGAGUGGGGGAUAACGUAGCGAAAGUUACGCUAAUACCGCAUACGAUCUAAGGAUGAAAGUGGGGGAUUCGCAAGAACCUCAUGCUCCUGGAGCGGCCGAUAUCUGAUUAGCUAGUUGGUAGGGUAAAAGCCUACCAAGGCAUCGAUCAGUAGCUGGUCUGAGAGGACGACCAGCCACACUGGAACUGAGACACGGUCCAGACUCCUACGGGAGGCAGCAGUGGGGAAUUUUGGACAAUGGGGGCAACCCUGAUCCAGCAAUGCCGCGUGAGUGAAGAAGGCCUUCGGGUUGUAAAGCUCUUUUGUCAGGGAAGAAACGGUGUGAGCUAAUAUCUCAUGCUAAUGACGGUACCUGAAGAAUAAGCACCGGCUAACUACGUGCCAGCAGCCGCGGUAAUACGUAGGGUGCAAGCGUUAAUCGGAAUUACUGGGCGUAAAGCGUGCGCAGGCGGUUUUGUAAGACUGUCGUGAAAUCCCCGGGCUCAACCUGGGAAUGGCGAUGGUGACUGCAAGGCUAGAGUUUGGCAGAGGGGGGUAGAAUUCCACGUGUAGCAGUGAAAUGCGUAGAUAUGUGGAGGAACACCGAUGGCGAAGGCAGCCCCCUGGGUCAAAACUGACGCUCAUGCACGAAGCGUGGGGAGCAAACAGGAUUAGAUACCCUGGUAGUCCACGCCCUAAACGAUGUCUACUAGUUGUCGGGUUUUAAUUAACUUGGUAACGCAGCUAACGCGUGAAGUAGACCGCCUGGGGAGUACGGUCGCAAGAUUAAAACUCAAAGGAAUUGACGGGGACCCGCACAAGC